UCCACUGUCCAUGUCAACGACAAAAAUAUUAAACAAGAUUUAGGAGACCGGGUACAUGAGUAAUUCCAGAGAAUGCAAGGAUACCUGUGUUAAGUAGUAACUUUACUUUUCAUCUACAGAUGCACUUAAAAUGGCAAUAAAACAUCAAGAGGUUCAAACUGCUUCAGUUUCAGUUGACAUUACUUCCACUGCAAUGGACUAUGGCUGGUAGAUCAUAUCCUCAGCACAUGAACUAGAAGACGUCUUUUCCUGGCCUUUGAAUUGCAGAGCUAUCUGCUGUGUACCAGAGCUCAUUGCUGUAUUCUCAUGUGAAGUUCAGCCUUUUGCCAAACAGUCUGUCAGCUACAAGUGGCAUGUAAUGUUUAUACACUUGACCCAACAUGAAGGGAAGACCACAGGCAACAUGUUCUUCAUCAAGAAAGAGGAAGAGCCAAUCUACUACAGGAACUGUGAUCUGAAAAGUCUGAGAACUGCUGCACUAAUUUCCAGAACCUCUGAGCUGCUCUGGAAAGUUCCAUGGAAAGGCCCACUGCAAUUCUUCCACUUGACCAGUGGAACAGUCACAGAAUCCCAUUAUCAAGGGUAGAUCAUGGUUUAGGAGCACCACUGAACAGGCAAAAGACCAGCAACUAUCUGCAUUAGCAGCAUCCAGGAAACAAGUCCAAGAAGGGCCCAGGUCAAUUCACCACAACCACCUUAAAAUCCCUAACAUAGGCAAACUGUUUCUCUCCCAGAUACUCCCCACAUGUACCUCAGACAUGAUAAUGUGAUAAACACAUAAAUGUAUUGGCUUUCACAAAUCACAGGUGUUGCUAUGUGGAUAUAACUGUAUGAGUUUGAAAUAACAGAAACAGCUCGCUAAAGACACAAGAUUAGACAAGUUGAAAAUGGCCAGAACUCUUGAGCAAAAUGGAGUCACACAGCAAAAGAAUUUGUAAAGGUAAAAGAAAGGGGGGGGGGAGGGGGGCUUGAUAUGAGGAAAGCUAGUGACUGGAAAACAUAGGGUUAAAGUACUUUUAGCUUAACUUAGGUCCAAGAUAAAGAACAAUGUUUGUGUUGUAAGUCUGUGGUGAGAUAACAGGAUUUAGUGGCCCCACUAAACAUGAGUGAAUUAUUUCACACCAUCCUUCUACUUAUCAGUUAGUUUGGAGACAGUGACUCCGAACCAUCUGCUAGCUUCAGAUACUUCUUGUCUGCCAGUCCUGUUUUGCUUGCAAUACAUUUUGUACAAAGGUCACACUGUUCUAAAUCUUUACCAGCUAUCAGAAGAAUUACAGAUAUGGCUGGUUUCAGCUAGUUGUGUGUUUACUGGGGCAUCCAACUGUGCCAAAGGUGAAAAGUACACCAUGAGGAAUACUGCUUACUUCAUCUUGAAGACCCCUGCUCACAUGAGGAAGACUGCUUACUUCAUCAUCAAGACCCCCUGCCCACGAUCACCGGAGAGCAGUGUGGAGGAGCCAAGAGGAGGAGACAUAUGAUAAUAAGUUCCUGGAGCUAGUUAUAAUAUUCCCCACCUAUACGCAGGAAUUAUGAAUAUGUAUAUGACUAAUGCAAUAGUCAAAGUAUAUAAACCUGUAACUAAUGCUAAUCAGUGCGCCUCUGGCUAUGGUCAUGUGCCCAGCGUUGUUGCUUUGCUUUAUUGACUUUAUCAAUAAAACCCUGUUAUCUUGAUUAGAGGAGUGAGCUCGUAUUUCACAAUACAAAUGACCUGCACCUUAUCCUCCACCU